AUCCAGCUGACAAGUCCCACAUAGGACGAAGUGGCACGCGUCCUGCAU
rnacentral:hammerhead_ribozyme from 1 species